AUUGAACGCUGGCGGCAGGCCUAACACAUGCAAGUCGAACGAGUUGCGGACGUGUGAGUAAUGUCUGGGAAACUUCCUGAUGGUGGGGGAUAACUACUGGAAACCGUAGCUAAUACCGCAUACCAUCAGAUGUGCCCAGAUGGGAUUGGCUUGUUGGUGGGGUAACGGCUCACCAAGGCGACGAUACCUAGCUGGUCUGAGAGGAUGACCUGCCCCACGGGAACUGAGACACGGUCCAAACUCCUAGGGGAGGCAGCAGGGGGAAAUUUAGCACAAGGGGCUCAAGCCUGAGGCAGCCAUGCGGGGUGUAAACAUAAGGCCUUCGGGUUGGAAGGUACGUUCAGCGGGGAGGCGUUACCGGCAGAAGAAGCACCGGCUAACUCCGUGCCAGCAGCCGCGGUAAUUC
rnacentral:rRNA from 1 species